rnacentral:rRNA from 1 species
AUGGCGCAUUCUCUCCGGUGCUGCCCAGCCGGGGCUGCGAUCCGUCGGUCGUUAUCCACGCGCGCCGGCAGUUUCCUCGGAGGCCACAAUUAUAGCAGCGGUAGAAUAAGCGUGAAGAUGGCUCGCGUUUCACCUUCCUCCGCUCCGGAACCCUUGCCGGCGUUGCCGCCUUUGCCGUGGUGGGCGGAGGACAUGCUUGCGGAGGACGACGAUUACUUCCCCCUCACGGACGUGGAUCCGCCCGGACAGGGACGGGAAGAGCUGAGUGCCAUAUGGGGCGCACUCGUCGCCUCCCCGCUCGAAUCCACCUCCCUCGCGCUGCGCGAAAUCGUGGCCGCCGGCAACGUCUUCCGCUGCCGCAGCUUCCACGCCGGCGUCCUCUCUGGUGCAUUGUUAGUACUCGCCGGUGUCUGCCAACUCUGGCAGGUGGCACCUACCCUUUUUCUGGACGUUGUUCUCGGAUAUAUGUUCUACAGGUUGAGUGCCUUAGCAGCAGAGUUGAAAAGGAAUGGCAGGGCAAAUGAUAUCUGUGCACGAAUACAACUAGUUCUUCUACUUAUAUUGUCUUUCAAGGACAACAGUGCUUAUCAGGGUUUUUACGGUGUUCUUGUGGAUUGGAUCUGGACGCUUAAUAUAUAUCUGUACAUCAUAACGGUGUACUAUGAAUUCAUGGGCAUAAAGCACCUCAGAAUCUAUUGGCUUGGGAUUUACAGAACUCUGCGGACCAAAGGUGGCCUGACAAAGGUGGUGAAGCUUACCAUGCGUGAUAUGUUUGGAUGGAUCAAAGAGCGCUACCAGGAUGAUUCAAAUGAUGGGUGA